AGGAAGGCAAAGGGGGGUCCCCCAAAAAUGGUGGGGGUCCCCGGAGGAAGGGGGGGCCCCCCCUGGGUGGGACGGUGCGUUUGGGGGGGCGGGAGUUCAGCGGGAAGAGGCUGGAAGCCUUCGGCCUCAACCCCCGCCGGCUCCGCUUCCGGCAGCUGCGGCGGAGGGGGAAAAAUAGCGGGAAUAGCGGGGAAAAUACUGGGAAAAAUAGCGGGAAAAAUAGUGGAAAUAGCGGGGAAAAUACUGGGAAAAAUAGCGGGAAAAAUAGCAGGAAUAGCAGGGAAAAUAGCAGGAAAAAUACCGGGAAUACUGGGGAAAAUACUGGGAAAAAUACCAGGAAAAAUAGUGGGAAUAGUGGGGAAAAUACUGGGAAAAAUAGCAGGAAUAGCAGGGAAAAUAGCAGGAAAAAUACCGGGAAUACUGGGGAAAAUACUGGGGAAAAUACCGGGAAUACCAGGGAAAAUAGCGGGAAAAAUACUGGGAAAAAUACCAGGAACACUGGGAAAAAUACCGGGAAAAACCCAGGGAAAAAUCCUGGGAACAUGGAGAAAAAUCCUGGGAAAAACACCGGGAACACGGAGAAAAAUCCUGGGAUCACCGGGAGAAAUUCUGGAAACAAGGAGAAAAAUCCUUGGAAAAGCACCGAGAAAAAUCCUGGGAAAAACCUCGGGAACACCGGGAUAACAGCAGCCGUCAAUGGGAAAAAACAGAAACGCAGGAAAAAUGCCCCAAACCCUCAGGAA
rnacentral:lncRNA from 1 species